UUGAAACAUCAGUUCUCAUCUGAUCUCUGUAGUUAAGCAAUGUUGAGUCUGGUCAGUACGUAGAUGGUUGACUACUUGGGAAUCUU